rnacentral:rRNA from 13 species
UUUGGCACAGCUUGUACAGUAUAGGUAGGAGCCUUUGAAACGUGAGCGCUAGCUUACGUGGAGGCGUUGGUGGGAUACUACCCUAGCUGUGUUGGCUUUCUAACCCGCACCACUUAUCGUGGUGGGAGACAGUGUCAGGCGGGCAGUUUGACUGGGGCGGUCGCCUCCCAAAGAGUAACGGAGGCGCGCGAAGGUUGGCUCAGAGCGGUCGGAAAUCGCUCGUUGAGUGCAAUGGCAUAAGCCUGCCUGACUGCGAGACUGACAAGUCGAGCAGAGUCGAAAGACGGCCAUAGUGAUCCGGUGGUCCCUCGUGGAAGGGCCAUCGCUCAACGGAUAAAAGGUACGCCGGGGAUAACAGGCUGAUGAUGCCCAAGAGUCCAUAUCGACGGCAUUGUUUGGCACCUCGAUGUCGGCUCAUCACAUCCUGGGGCUGAAGCCGGUCCCAAGGGUAUGGCUGUUCGCCAUUUAAAGUGGUACGCGAGCUGGGUUUAGAACGUCGUGAGACAGUUCGGUCCCUAUCUGCCGUGGGCGUUGGAAAUUUGAAGGGGGCUGCUCCUAGUACGAGAGGACCGGAGUGGACG